GAGGAAUAUUGGUCAAUGGGCGCGAGCCUGAACCAGCCAAGUAGCGUGCAGGAUGACGGCCCUAUGGGUUGUAAACUGCUUUUGUAUGGGGAUAAAGUCAAUCACGUGUGAUUGUUUGCAGGUACCAUACGAAUAAGGACCGGCUAAUUCCGUGCCAGCAGCCGCGGUAAUACGGAAGGUCCGGGCGUUAUCCGGAUUUAUUGGGUUUAAAGGGAGCGUAGGCCGGAGAUUAAGUGUGUUGUGAAAUGUAGACGCUCAACGUCUGACUUGCAGCGCAUACUGGUUUUCUUGAGUACGCACAACGUUGGCGGAAUUCGUCGUGUAGCGGUGAAAUGCUUAGAUAUGACGAAGAACUCCGAUUGCGAAGGCAGCUGACGGGAGCGCAACUGACGCUUAAGCUCGAAGGUGCGGGUAUCGAACAGGAUUAGAUACCCUGGUAGUCCGCACAGUAAACGAUGGAUGCCCGCUGUUGGUACCUGGUAUCAGCGGCUAAGCGAAAGCAUUAAGCAUCCCACCUGGGGAGUACGCCGGCAACGGUG
rnacentral:rRNA from 1 species